CCUACGGGAGGCAGCAGUGAGGAAUAUUGGUCAAUGGGCGCGAGCCUGAACCAGCCAAGUAGCGUGAAGGAUGACUGCCCUACGGGUUGUAAACUUCUUUUAUAAAGGAAUAAAGUGAGGCACGUGUGCCUGUUUGUAUGUACUAUAUGAAUAAGGAGCGGCUAACUCCGUGCCGGCAGCAGCGGUAAUACGGAGGAUCCGAGCGUUAUCCGGAUUUAUUGGGUUUAAAGGGAGCGUAGAGGUGUUCUUAAGUCAGUUGGGAAAGUUGGCGGCUCCACCGUAAAAUUGCAAUUGAUACUGGCAGCCUUGAUUACAGUUGAGGUAGGCGGCAUUCGUGCUGUAGCGGUGCACUGCUUAGAUAUCACG
rnacentral:rRNA from 1 species